GGCCUCGUGGCGCAGUGGUAGAGCGUCUGACUCCAGAUCAGAAGGUUGUGUGUUCAAAUCACGUCGGGGUCA
rnacentral:tRNA from 1 species